rnacentral:rRNA from 1 species
GACGAACCGUGCGAACGUUGUUCGGAUUCACUGGGUUUAAAGGGUGCGUAGGCGGGCAGGUAAGUCAGUGGUGAAAUCUCCGGGCUUAACCCGGAAACUGCCGUUGAUACUAUCUGUCUUGAAUAUCGUGGAGGUAAGCGGAAUAUGUCAUGUAGCGGUGAAAUGCUUAGAUAUGACAUAGAACACCCAUUGCGAAGGCAGCUUACUACACGAUCAUUGACGCUGAGGCACGAAAGCGUGGGGAGCAAACAGG